rnacentral:rRNA from 1 species
CCUACGGGUGGCUGCAGUGGGGAAUAUUGGACAAUGGGGGGAACCCUGAUCCAGCCAUGCCGCGUGUGUGAAGAAGGCCCUCGGGUUGUAAAGCACUUUCAGUGAGGAAGAACGCCUGUUGGUUAAUACCCAUCAGGAAAGACAUCACUCACAGAAGAAGCACCGGCUAACUCCGUGCCAGCAGCCGCGGUAAUACGGAGGGUGCGAGCGUUAAUCGGAAUUACUGGGCGUAAAGCGCGCGUAGGUGGCUUGAUAAGCCGGUUGUGAAAGCCCCGGGCUCAACCUGGGAACGGCAUCCGGAACUGUCAAGCUAGAGUGCAGGAGAGGAAGGUAGAAUUCCCGGUGUAGCGGUGAAAUGCGUAGAGAUCGGGAGGAAUAGCAGUGGCGAAGGCGGCCUUCUGGACUGACACUGACACUGAGGUGCGAAAGCGUGGGUAGCAAACAGGAUUAGAUACCCUAGUAGUC